rnacentral:misc_RNA from 1 species
AAUAGCACUCAAGCUUUGGGUUUUACUUUUGUUUUCUUUUAGCUCUAUCAAUUACUUUCACUAACUUUUCUUUUCCUCCCUUUUGUUUUCUUCAGGUAGGAAUUGCUGCCCACACAAGUAAAGGAUUGUCCUUAAAAUGUAGAGACCUUAUCAGUAAAAUUUUUUCAACUUUUCAACUGGAAACAAGAGAAAUAAUUUCUGCAGAAAUUGGCAGUAGUGAAGUGAAGGAAAUAAAGAAUUUACAUGAAGAAGAAGAAGAAGAAGAA